rnacentral:rRNA from 1 species
AGAGUUUGAUCCUGGCUCAGAGUGAACGCUGGCGGCAGGCCUAACACAUGCAAGUCGAACGGCAGCGCGGGGAGCUUGCUCCCUGGCGGCGAGUGGCGGACGGGUGAGGAAUGCAUCGGAAUCUGCCCAUUUGUGGGGGAUAACCUCGGGAAACCGGGACUAAUACCGCAUACGACCUUCGGGUGAAAGCAGGGGACCUUCGGGCCUUGCGCAGAUGGAUGAGCCGAUGUCGGAUUAGCUAGUUGGUGGGGUAAAGGCCUACCAAGGUGACGAUCCGUAGCUGGUCUGAGAGGAUGAUCAGCCACACCGGGACUGAGACACGGCCCGGACUCCUACGGGAGGCAGCAGUGGGGAAUAUUGGACAAUGGGCGAAAGCCUGAUCCAGCCAUGCCGCGUGGGUGAAGAAGGCCUUCGGGUUGUAAAGCCCUUUUGUUGGGAAAGAAAAACAUCCGGCUAAUACCCGGAUGGAAUGACGGUACCCAAAGAGUAAGCACCGGCUAACUUCGUGCCAGCAGCCGCGGUAAUACGAAGGGUGCAAGCGUUACUCGGAAUUACUGGGCGUAAAGGGUGCGUAGGUGGUUCGUUAAGUCUGAUGUGAAAGCCCUGGGCUCAACCUGGGAAUUGCAUUGGAUACUGGCGGGCUGGAGUGCGGUAGAGGGUAGUGGAAUUCCCGGUGUAGCAGUGAAAUGCGUAGAUAUCGGGAGGAACAUCCGUGGCGAAGGCGACCGCCUGGACCAGCACUGACACUGAGGCACGAAAGCGUGGGGAGCAAACAGGAUUAGAUACCCUGGUAGUCCACGCCCUAAACGAUGCGAACUGGAUGUUGGGAGCAAUCAGGCUCUCAGUGUCGAAGCUAACGCGUUAAGUUCGCCGCCUGGGGAGUACGGUCGCAAGACUGAAACUCAAAGGAAUUGACGG